rnacentral:rRNA from 1 species
GACGAACGCUGGCGGCGUGCUUAACACAUGCAAGUCGAACGCUGAAGCUCAGCUUUUGUUGGGUGGAUGAGUGGCGAACGGGUGAGUAACACGUGAGUAACCUGCCCCCUUCUUUGGGAUAACGCCCGGAAACGGGUGCUAAUACUGGAUAUUCACUGGUCUUCGCAUGGGGGUUGGUGGAAAGGGUUUUUCUGGUGGGGGAUGGGCUCGCGGCCUAUCAGCUUGUUGGUGGGGUGAUGGCCUACCAAGGCUUUGACGGGUAGCCGGCCUGAGAGGGUGACCGGUCACAUUGGGACUGAGGUACGGCCCAGACUCGUACGGGAGGCAGCAGUGGGGAAUAUUGCACAAUGGGCGCAAGCCUGAUGCAGCGACGCCGCGUGAGGGAUGGAGGCCUUCGGGUUGUGAACCUCUUUCGCUCAUGGUCAAGCCGCAACAAUGGUUGUGGUGAGGGUAGUGGGUAAAGAAGCGCCGGCUAACUACGUG